AUGUUUGCUUCUGUCCAGUCCUGCCUGUACAGAGUCACUGUCUGCCUGAAUGUCCACUCUCUUUGGCCACAUAUAGAAAUUCUACAGUUCCGCAAAGUAGAGCUGCCAAAGGCAAACCAUAACUGUGCAGAACGACACUGGGUUACAUGGGGCCAAGUCUCCAGAGCAGACAGGAAUGCUAUUAAAAUAGAUUCCUCACCUAUGAAGUGAAAUUCAUCAUUUUAACAAUCUUGCUCAAUAUUCUCAGGAAAAAAAAGAUCUUUUCAAUGAGAAGAUGUGAUGCAGACAACUGAAGACACUUGACAAUUACGACUUGAUCUUCUUGACUACAUUCGGAAAGCUGAAAUCAUAUUCUCUGGAUAACAAACCUAAUCUGAGGUCCUGGAAAAACAACAUGAAGGAGAUAUAAGAUGCCUUUUUCUAAUAAUCUGCCAAUCCCCAAGCACAUGAGGCAAUAUUAAGUCACUCAAGAGAUGAUUAUAAGAGUGACCCCAAGCAAGACUAGAAUAAUCUGAUUGAGGCCACAUAAGAUUGGACAUAAAAUAGUCAUUAUUCUAAGCCAGUAUAUUAUAGGACAGAUUUUGUCUUGCAACAAUACCGUGUGUGACCUGGGCAUCUGGAUUUGUAAAGAUCUCCCAAAGGAAUUUUAGUGUGCUUCUUUCUCACUGCUGAGACACAAAACAGGACACCUGUGACUAAAAGAAGGAGAAGUUUAUCGUGGCUUACAUUUCAGUUCACACUCUGCUGGCUCCCAGGCAGGAUGGCAUGGUAGAGGGACACAACAGAGGAAAUGUUGCUCACUUUAUGGUGACCAGGAAGCAGAAGAGGAGAAAGGCAGACUGGGAUGAGAGAUACACCCUUCCAGGUGAAGCCCCCAGUGACCCACCUCGUCCGAAUAGACCCCAACUUCUAAUAGCAAGACAACUAUAAGGCCCCAUAAUCCAAUCACCUGCCAAUAAUCCUGCCUAUGAGUGCAUGAGGCUCUUGGGAGACAUCUAGAUAUAAGCAAUAACAGUGCGCAGCAAUGUUUGGGUAUCUCUGGUAUAAAUCUGAUUUUGACAUUUGGCUGCCAAUUGGUAUCACAUAGAAAGCUUUACAUAAUAAUGAUGGCUGGACAACAUCCACAAAGUUUGUGUUAUUAUUACUAAAGGAUAUAUCCUGGUCACCGGAAUUAUUUAACACUUUCCAGGCUAAUCCACCAUGCAGCAAAAUUUGAAGAGCACUGCUUUCAUUGGGUUAAUAGGAUAUUUUGUUGUUAUAGGAGUGUACAAUCACUUACCCAAGCAUCCAACUUUAGAGACAUGAUGGGGACAAAGAACAUGAAAAGAGUGGUUAAUCUUUGGAUCAGGAGCUAGCUUUGGAUACACA
rnacentral:lncRNA from 1 species